CCUACGGGAGGCUGCAGUGGGGAAUAUUGCGCAAUGGGCGAAAGCCUGACGCAGCGACGCCGCGUGAGGGAUGAAGGUCUUCGGAUCGUAAACCUCUGUCAGCAGGGAAGAACGGUCACUGUGCUAAUCAGCAGUGAAUUGACGGUACCUGCAAAGGAAGCACCGGCUAACUCCGUGCCAGCAGCCGCGGUAAUACGGAGGGUGCGAGCGUUAAUCGGAAUUACUGGGCGUAAAGCGCUCGUAGGCGGUAUGUCAAGUAAAGGGUGAAAUCCCCGCGCUCAACGUGGGAACUGCCUUUGAAACUGGCAAACUGGAGUGUGUGAGAGGAUAGUGGAAUUCCAGGUGUAGGAGUGAAAGCCGUAGAGAUCUGGAGGAACAUCAGUGGCGAAGGCGACUAUCUGGCACAUAACUGACGCUGAGGAGCGAAAGCGUGGGUAGCAAACAGGAUUAGAUACCCCAGUAGUC
rnacentral:rRNA from 1 species